rnacentral:lncRNA from 1 species
CUGGCACAGCCCUCUAGCAUCGUGGGACCUUGCAUAUCCUCACCAAUCUCCUGUAUGUUGGACACCAUCUCUCCCGAGAACCUCAGCCUCCAAAAGGAAAUACAAUUAAAAACAGGACAGGAAGAAGGUCUAAAACCGAAAGCUGAGGACCUUGAUGCAUGUAACUUGAAAAGGAGAAAAUGUUCGUUUGGAAGUAUAGACCAUCUCCAGAAAUUGGAUGAGCAAAAGAAAUGGUUAGAUGAAGAAGUAGAGAAAGUUCUGAACCAACGCCAAGAAUUAGAGGAGCUGGAAGCAGACUUAAAGAAACGGGAGGCCAUAGUUUCUAAGAAGGAGGCUCUGUUACAGGAGAAGAUUCACCUGGAAAAUAAGAAAUUGAGAUCUAGUCAGGUAUUCUGUUUAAUACACUACUUGAUUCUGGUUGUAAACCACUCCCCACUCCCCACUAGGAUGGCUAUAAUCAGAAAAACGUAGUUAGAAAUGUGUGGGAGGAGGUGGAGAAAUUGGGACCUUCAUACACUCCUGGUGAAAUUGGAAAAUGGUGCAAUUGCUUCGGAUAACCAUCUUG